rnacentral:lncRNA from 1 species
UGGAUAUAUUGAGGGCUAUUCCAUAAAAAUUGAGGGGAGAAGGAAUGAACCCCCACCACAAUUAACCUACUAUCUUUGAAUUAUUUUGCAUUCAUCAAAUAGAUGUUAUUAUUAUAAACAGAAAAUGACCUUUUCAAAUAAAGAACUUAGUAAGCUAAUCUAUUAAUUUUAUUUGAUAUCAUGAUUUUUGUGGCAAAAGAUA